UACGAAGGGUGCAAGCGUUAAUCGGAAUUACUGGGCGUAAAGCGCGCGUAGGUGGUUCAGUAAGUUGGAAGUGAAAUCCCCGGGCUCAACCUGGAACUGCUUUCAAAACUGCUGAGCUAGAGUACGGUAGAGGGUGGUGGAAUUUCCUGUGUAGCGGUGAAAUGCGUAGAUAUAGGAAGGAACACCAGUGGCGAAGGCGACCACCUGGACUGAUACUGACACUGAGGUGCGAAAGCGUGGGGAGCAAACAGG
rnacentral:rRNA from 1 species